rnacentral:rRNA from 1 species
AUUGAACGCUGGCGGCAGGCCUAACACAUGCAAGUCGAACGGUAACAGUGAUCAGCUUGCUGAUUCGCUGACGAGUGGCGGACGGGUGAGUAAUGUCUGGGAAACUGCCUGAUGGAGGGGGAUAACUACUGGAAACGGUAGCUAAUACCGCAUAACGUCGCACGACCAAAGAGGGGGACCUUCGGGCCUCUUGCCAUCGGAUGUGCCCAGAUGGGAUUAGCUAGUAGGUGGGGUAACGGCUCACCUAGGCGACGAUCCCUAGCUGGUCUGAGAGGGUGACCAGCCACACUGGAACUGAGACACGGUCCAGACUCCUACGGGAGGCAGCAGUGGGGAAUAUUGCACAAUGGGCGCAAGCCUGAUGCAGCCAUGCCGCGUGUAUGAAGAAGGCCUUCGGGUUGUAAAGUACUUUCAGCGGGGAGGAAGGGAGUAAAGUUAAUACCUUUGCUCAUUGACGUUACCCGCAGAAGAAGCACCGGCUAACUCCGUG